rnacentral:rRNA from 1 species
UACGUAGGGGGCAAGCGUUGUCCGGAUUUAUUGGGCGUAAAGAGCUCGUAGGUGGUUCGGUAAGUCGGGUGUUAAACCCCAGGCUCGAACCUGGGACGGCCACUCGAUACUGCUGUGACUUGAGUCCGGUAGGGGAGCGUGGAAUUCCUGGUGUAGCGGUGAAAUGCGCAGAUAUCAGGAGGAACACCGAUGGCGAAGGCAGCUCGCUGGGACGGUACUGACGCUGAGGCGCGAAAGCGUGGGGAGCAAACAGG